CCCACUUUGUUGGUGAAGAAAAAAACUCCUUGUUAACUACAAAGCUCUUCUCUCAGCAACACAUAAGGCCCCAUGUGAUGAGACAUCCUGGCUGGCAGGGCAGCCCAGCUCUACAUAACUGUUCAUGGAUCCAGGUCGCUGAUGAAUCAUUGUUCCUUUACGUCCAGGCAUUGUUAUCACGGCAUGAUUGAAGCUGGUUGCUACAAUACUCAGAUUCCAGCCAGUGAGAAGAAGAAAGUAUGGAGGAAGCAAAUCAAUAUCUCAAGAACCAGACACAUGACUUACUGUCACAUUCUACAGGUGAGAACCUUGUCACCUGGCCAUUCAACUGCAAGGGGGCUGGAAAAUGAGGUGUAGCUGAGCAGAUGGGAGCCCAGAAGCAAUUCCAUUCAUGUGAAGGGAGGCCAGUACAGAUUGGAAGUGACUCUAGAGGUCUCCAUCACAGCCACUGCUUCCCUGCCAUGCGCAAGACCUGUAUGCUCAUGUGCCACCCCCUGGCCCAGUGCACAAUGUUCCAGAACUUUCAUCAGGCCUCACUAUCAUAGCCAUUUCCCUCUUUUGGACUUUCCUUGCCCACACCCCAACCUCACAGGAAUAUAAUCUCAAGAUUACAGAAUUUUCACAUCAGCUUUCUUCAUCUUUUUCAAGCCUGCAGGACAAAAACAAACCAAUAAAUACUGUACCAGUUCAACCUCA